CAGUGCCUGACUUGGCUAAUACUGUUGACAACUGUUGCAAUAAGCAGCACAAGAUAGCGACGUAAGAACCUCCAUCUGUCAUAGAAGUAGACAUGAGAAUUGUUAACACAACUUUUGUUCUGAAUAUUGGAAUUUCUUGUUCAAAUUCAACGAAUCUCCCACAAAGUAAGAGAUGCAACCAAUAAGAAAAAGGUUUAACAGGGAUUUGCUCCGAGAAUGGAGCAUCAACCCAUGAAGCAGUACAAGGUAUUUCCAGUGCAGGUCAUCUUGAAACUAUUGCACAACUCAAAAAAGGUCAAUCUUGAUCCAGGGGCUCUUGGCUAAGGCCCUGGAUGUGGUCUAUUCUACUGUAGACUGGCCCUCCCCUUAAGAGUUAGGUUUAGAAUUUUGGAUCGAUUGAUCACAGCCGAAUUUGGAAUGCAGGAAUCUUGUCUUGUCCAUGCAAAAGAUUUGAGCAUUUAUAUGCACUUUUAAGAAAAAUCAUCUGAAAUUCCUGUGUUCCUAAGGAGCCAAAGUGACAGAGUUAGUCUGUGUCAUUACUCAUACCUGCGAGCAGCAUAUGCAGUCCAAAUUAGUUGAUAUGUGCAGUCCAAAUGAGAAUGCUUCCCCUCCGAUGGCUAUAUUCCUUAUUGUAUAAGUACACUAUAGUAGCAUAGCACCAUAUUGCCAAUUUGCCAUCAACGUCAAAUAAUUGACACGCACAGCUCAGCUCUUCUACACCAGAUAUAUGGGAACAAACGGAAGACCUUUAAUAUUGUUCCGUAAAUUAUGCGUAGAAAUGUUUCAUAAAGGACAAAUCAAGGCCGGCCAGCCAGCCAGCCGGCCUAAUUCAUCCUUCUGUCCUGCAUGAAGCCACAUGAGAAUGCUGUUGGCAGAAGAUUCAGAGUAUCUUGCUACAUGAGUAGAUUUAGAUAACACACUUACUUUAACCCAAACAAGCUGGCAGCAAAGUUUGACCAGGGAACCUGUAAACUUCUGGUAGGAGGCCGGCUAUCUGAUGAUUGA
rnacentral:lncRNA from 1 species